UCCGUCGUAGUCUAGGUGGUUAGGAUACUCGGCUCUCACCCGAGGGACCCGGUUUCAACUUUCAAGUCCCGGCGACGGAA